UUACAGAUAGGAGAAUGGACUCAGCUGUUCAAUCACUUGCCUAGGGCCACAGUGAGUCAGUGACAGAGCCAGGCUGGGAACCAGGAUCUCUUAUGUACCUGUUGUGUGCUCACCACUAGAACAUGCUGUGCCACUAGGACAUAAGAGAAGAUCCAAAAGAAGAUAUCUUUGGUGGAUAGCACAUUAUCCACCAUCUGCUUUUGUGAGCAAGGGACAGCCACUGCGGAUGUCGUAACAGCAUUUAUUUUGGAAUCUCAAGCAGAUUGUAUAGCAAGAAUCAACCAGGAAAUGAUUUUCCUUCUGAUUUGGGACAAAAGGAAAUGUUCAAAUGUUGGAAUUGCCCAGCAUUUGACUAGCUUCAAGAGUAACAUUCCAACAGAACAACAGUCAAAGGUGUUGCUAGUCCUCUAUAAUUCAGAUUAUUCAAUUUUUUUUGGCAACACACAUCAGAAGAGGCUCAUGUUCUACAAAGUGUGUCUUGGGGGAACGAUUGGGACAGCAUGAAGAAGCUUUACGUGUAUUACAAUACAAAGGGUCUUGCAAUUAAGAUUGCUUAAAAGAAAGCUACGCCCAUUUUGCAGAGAAUAGGAUACUGAACAUUAACAUUGCAAGAAGUCAUGUGUCAUGUUCAAAGUGAAUGAUAAAAAUAACUGAAAUUCAGAUGAUUCUUGAGCCUUGCUCUGGGUGUGGCUAUCUGAGUGAGUGCCAUUGACACCGACAAAAGGGGAAUCCUGUGCAAAACCAAACUGGAAUAGAAGGCAAAAUGACUACCGGAUAAUACAAAUGACCUUUGUGCAAGCAACUAACAUAUUUAAUACAUUUUUAUUUAUCCAUUAAAUCAAUACAAUA